rnacentral:rRNA from 1 species
AUGAUAGCCUUGAAAUUGGACUUUCAAAAGGCUUUUGACUCUGUUAGUUGGGCCUGCCUCACCCAAGUUCUCGAAGCAAGGGGUUUCCCACCAUAUUGGAUUCAAUGGGUUCAUGCGUUCCUCUCCACGGGUCGAUCAAGAGUGCUGCUGAAUGGGGAGCUAGGCGAUCCCAUUCUUGCAAAGAAAGGCUUCCGUCAGGGUGACUCGCUGUCUCCAUACCUCUUCAUCCUUGUUGCUGAUGUGCUCCAACGGCUCUGCUGUAUGCAUUUUCGAAAUGGCACCUUACUGCACCCCCUCGGAUCGGAUGAUUUCUUCUCAGUCUUGCAGUAUGCGGAUGAUACGCUAAUUAUCUUCAGAGGUGAGUUGGAGCAAGCCAAUGUGAUCAAGGAUAUUUUGUCUGCUUUCUCUAAGUUCUAA